UGAUAUUCCUCAAUAUCUGCAGAAGUCAUUUCAAGAGACUCUUCAUCAUCAGAAUCUUCUUCUGUUGUGGCACCAAUAGGGAUGUUAUACACAUGUUUAUGCUAACAUUCUUGCACAACAUGAUAGUUUUGUCUCAAUUUCAUGUCUUGUAAAUAAUAAACUUGCUUCACUUGAUUUGUAAGAAUAAAUAGAUCAUUUCUAUACCAUAAUCUGGUUACAUUUAUGCUUUGCACAUUUCCAUCGAUCGUGAUAUUAGCAUUUAUAGACCCAAGAUCAUACCAUUUGCACUUAAAAAGAACAACACUUUUACUCUUGACAUAAUCCAAUUAAAUAAUGUCUGUUAAUACCCCAA
rnacentral:lncRNA from 1 species